AUUGAACGCUGGCGGUAUGCUUAACACAUGCAAGUCGAACGGUAACAGGCCUUCGGGCGCUGACGAGUGGCGGACGGGUGAGUAACGCGUAGGAAUCUGCCUCAUAGUGGGGGACAACGUGGGGAAACUCACGCUAAUACCGCAUACGCCCUACGGGGGAAAGCGGGGGAUCUUCGGACCUCGCGCUAUGAGAUGAGCCUGCGUUAGAUUAGCUAGUUGGUAGGGUAAAGGCCUACCAAGGCGACGAUCUAUAGCUGGUCUGAGAGGACGAUCAGCCACACUGGGACUGAGACACGGCCCAGACUCCUACGGGAGGCAGCAGUGGGGAAUAUUGGACAAUGGGCGCAAGCCUGAUCCAGCAAUACCGCGUGUGUGAAGAAGGCCCUAGGGUUGUAAAGCACUUUCAAUUGGGAGGAAAACCUGCCGGUCAAUACCCGGCAGCUUGACAUUACCUUUAGAAGAAGCACCGGCUAACUCCGUGCCAGCCGCCGCGGUAACAC
rnacentral:rRNA from 1 species